AACCAUUCUCACCUGCGGCUAGACCUGCGGAAGGAUCAUUAACAUUUUUGGAGGUAGGCUGUAUAAGUCUGGUUGGUAACAACUAGCAUGGCCCCUCUGAUUUGUACCCUUGUCUAUUUGCGCACUUAUGUUUCCUCGGUGGGCUUGCCUGCCGAUUGGACAAACUUAUAACCUUUUUAAUUGUUAAAUCAGCGUCUGAAACAAACAUAAUAAUUACAACUUUUAACAACGGAUCUCAGA
rnacentral:misc_RNA from 1 species